rnacentral:rRNA from 1 species
AUUGAACGCUGGCGGCAUGCUUUACACAUGCCAGUCGAACGGCAGCACAGGGAGAUUGCUCCUGGGUGGCGAGUGGCGAACGGGUGAGUAAUGUAUCGGAACGUGCCUGGUAGUGGGGGAUAACUACUCGAAAGAGUGGCUAAUACCGCAUGAGAUCUUUGGAUGAAAGCGGGGGACCUUCGGGCCUCGUGCUACUGGAGCGGCCGAUAUCAGAUUAGGUUGUUGGUGGGGUAAAGGCCUACCAAGCCUGCGAUCUGUAGCUGGUCUGAGAGGACGACCAGCCACACUGGGACUGAGACACGGCCCAGACUCCUACGGGAGGCAGCAGUGGGGAAUUUUGGACAAUGGGCGCAAGCCUGAUCCAGCAAUGCCGCGUGCAGGACGAAGGCCUUCGGGUUGUAAACUGCUUUUGUACAGAACGAAAAGUCUCUGGCUAAUAUCUAGAGAUCAUGACGGUACUGUAAGAAUAAGCACCGGCUAACUACGUG